GCUUACGGCCACACCGCCUGGUUCACGCCCGAUCUCGUUUGAUCUCCGGAAGCUAAGAUAGGUUGGGCCUGGUUAGUACUUGGAUGGGAGACCGCCUGGGAAUACCAGGUGCUGUAAGUU
rnacentral:rRNA from 1 species